UACGUAGGGGGCAAGCGUUGUCCGGAAUCAUUGGGCGUAAAGAGCGUGUAGGCGGCCCGGUAAGUCCGCUGUGAAAGUCGGGGGCUCAACCCUCGAAUGCCGGCGGAUACUGUCGGGCUAGAGUCCGGAAGAGGCGAGUGGAAUUCCUGGUGUAGCGGUGAAAUGCGCAGAUAUCAGGAGGAACACCAACGGCGAAGGCAGCUCGCUGGGACGGUACUGACGCUGAGACGCGAAAGCGUGGGGAGCGAACGGG
rnacentral:rRNA from 1 species